GUGCUCUCCUCGGUAGCACAUAUACUGAAAUUGGAAAGAUACAGAGAAGAUUAGCAUGGCCCUGCACAAGGAUGAUACCCAAAUUUGUGAAGCAUUCUAUAUUUUC